rnacentral:rRNA from 1 species
UACGUAGGGUGCGAGCGUUAAUCGGAAUUACUGGGCGUAAAGCGUGCGCAGGCGGUUCGUUGUGUCGGUGGUGAAAGCCCCGGGCUUAACCUGGGAAUGGCCAUGGAAACUGGCGAACUGGAGUGUGGCAGAGGGGGGUGGAAUUCCGCGUGUAGCAGUGGAAUGCGUAGAGAUGCGGAGGAACACCGAUGGCGAAGGCAGCCCCCUGGGCUGACACUGACGCUCAGGCACGAAAGCGUGGGGAGCAAACAGG